GCUCUGAGCGAGCACAUCUGGUUUUAAUAAAUAAUUUGCAGCUUGAACUUGCCUGACACUUAAGGGCCGUUCUUGGCCAGCAUCCCUCUGCACGCAGCUGGGUGCUGAGCAGAGCCAGGCUGACAGCGCUCUUUGGACGUGGCUGGUGGCCAAAGUCCCCGACGUGGCCGAGCUCUGGCACCCAGCAUGGCCACAACCCCUGGGCUCAUCUUUGGAGGGUGCAAACCGGAGCUGUGAGGCUGAUCCCCUGCCCAGCCCCCAGCAGGGACACAUGCCAAAGCCCCCACCCACAGUGGCAGAGCCCUCAGCAAGUCUCAGGCCUGCAAGGAGCACGGGGUUUGUGGCGUUUCCAUGGCCAGUCCUGCUCUUGCCCACCCCACAUCCCCACCCUGGCAUCCAGCCCUCAGAGCGUGAUACCAGGGCUGGAGGAUGUGAGAUCUCGUGGGAUGAAGGCUCCCCCGGGCAGUGUCGCUAUGCUCAUGUGUGCACCCAGCGCUGCUUCAUCCUCAGUUAUUUUGCAUCUCCCUACAGCUGGGAUGGAAAAGGAGCAGCCAAGCACCCCCACCCCGGAGCCUCCGCUCCUCCUGCAGGCGGGGAGCAACGUGGCCUUCCCUUCCCUCCCCUUCCCUUCGUUUCCCUUCCCUUCCCCAGCGCGGGGGAGAGAGGAGCCAGCAGACGCCGAGACGGCCUCUUCCCUCAGCGGUGACCUCAGUGCAGUGCCUGCCAGCAGUUUCCCGAAGCCAUCGACAUCCUCUUUCAUUAGCAAAACCACUCCUGAAGAACCCUUCUGCACCCUGGGAGUGCGGCGUGGCCACGAGGGUUGGUGUCCCACCCCAAAUUACCGGGUAAGAGCGCAUCCCACGGCUCACUGGGGACAUCUCCCUCCCAGCCUGUGGGGCACCACACAGCUCCAGGUCUGACGAUGCUCACAACCAGCCGGCCUCCAUCCAAAGGUCUUCACAGCACGGUCUGAGCUCGGGAAAUAUUCCUCAAACCCUUCUGCACGCUGAUUUUCACUCGAGCGCAGUGCCCCCAUCACACCCCCUCCGCUGCGACCAUCUCGAAAAGCGGUGUUUAUUUCGUUUACCCAAACAGCAGACAGGCGGGGAUGCUCCAUCCGCAGCCUGGAAUCUCCCACUGCUGACUCAGCUGGGACGAACCCGCGACUCCCGGCCCUCACUCGGUGCAAAAAAGCCCUCCCCAGAGCAGUCCCCGCACGCGGCCGCAGCAGCUCGUUGGGGCCAGCGGGGUCAGACAGCUUGGAAGUGCCCCAGGGGGAGGGAAAAAGGCAUUUCCUCCAGGUCUGCUCCGACGAGUAGCAAUUCAACCGGUACUAAACCGGAUUAGGAGAGGAGUAAGCGAGGAGCUGUUGGCCUCAACCGGGGGGGGGAUUCAUUAUUAGGAAGUGCUAAUUAUCUUCUAACAGCACACGGCAUGCUGCAAGAGAUGGGUUGAAGGAGGCCGAGAGGCGGUGAUGCUCUGCGCCAUCCACGGCCAUCCGGCUGCGCUGUGCCCCUCCUGCUGGUGGGAUUCACCUCCUGGCAAAGCGCCGCUGGGUCUGUCGGGUCCCCCCACCCAUCUGCGGGGCUCAGAGCUCCGCCGUGUCCCACUGAUGGCACCUCGAGUGGUGACACCACCCCACCCCAAGGCUUUGGGACGGGACCAACCCUGACCCUGUGUGGAUCCAUUCCUCUCCCCGGGCUGUUGUGAGCAGCCCCCGGAGCGGAGCAGAGCAGAGCUGCUUCAAUUAAAAACUAAUCUGCCGCUCCAACAGCCCAACAGCCCAGAUGCUGAUGCGCUUAAUUGGGCCCCCCCUGGAGGGUUUGCAUCCCCAAAGCCCACCCCGGCCCCACUCUGCAGGUCCUUCCUGCUUUGCUGGGAAACAACGGAUUCCUUUAUUUUUGCGAGAGCUGCCAAACCAAACGUGGCAGCCCAGCAGCAUCCCCCGCACCGCACCAUUUCAGGGCUUCAUCCUGCAAGCAGUGCCGCACUCAUCGUCUUCCCUGGACUUUAUAUGGGGUUACAUCUCCUCGGGGUGCCCCCGUGUGCCUCAGCACAGCGUCUCUCCCUCGGCCGAGCAGCUCCCUGUGGUUGUUGUUGAUGGUGCUUAAUGAUUUUAACCCCAAACACCUGAACAGGCUUUGAGCAGAGCUCAGAUGGAAACACGCAGCCCUACAAGGCAGGGAAAUACGCCGAUUUCCAGCGUUUUCUGCACGAAGCCAUCCAUGCAGGAGCCCUGGGGCGCCCAGGGAGACCACCGGCGAUGGGAGAACCGGAGCUAAAAGCAAAGCUCGGCUUCCCAACGGCAGCGCGUCCUUCUCGGCUCUUCGCGUGGCUUUUGGGGGUUGUGCAGCACCGGAUGGAG
ensembl:lncRNA